CGAGGGAGUGGCAACACUUCUGUCGGCGACCGGCGCACGGGUGAGUAACGCGUAUGCAACCUGCCCAUCACUUGGGAAUAACCUUGCGAAAGUAAGACUAAUACCCAAUGAUAUCCCACGAAGGCAUCCGAAUGGGAUUAAAGAUUUAUCGGUGAUGGAUGGGGAUGCGUCUGAUUAGCUUGUUGGCGGGGUAACGGCCCACCAAGGCGACGAUCGGUAGCCGACCUGAGAGGGUGAUCGGCCACAUUGGGACUGAGACACGGCCCAAACUCC
rnacentral:rRNA from 1 species